rfam:Gossypium raimondii Chr06_contig_55, whole genome shotgun sequence.
UGUUAAAAAUUUCAUUCAUUUGUACUAUUAAAAAGUUACCGUUACUAAUGGAAUAACCAGAUAGUAACAUUUGACGUACAUGGAUUAGUUUUUAAUACUAGAAAUGGAUGAAAUUUUUAACA